GAUGAACGCUCGCGGCAGGCCUAAUACAUGCAAGUCGGACGGGAUUCAGGAGCUUGCUUCUGAUGAGAGUGGCGCACGGGUGCGUAACACGUAUGUAACCUACCUUUAUCAGGGGGAUAGCCCCUCGAAAGAGAGAUUAAGCCCGCAUAAAAUCACAGCACAGCAUUGUGUAAUGAUCAAAUAUUUAUAGGAUAAAGAUGGGCAUGCGGAACAUUAGCUAGAUGGCGGGGUAACGGCCCACCAUGGCGACGAUGUUUAGGGGAUCUGAGAGGAUGGCCCCCCACACUGGUACUGAGACACGGACCAGACUCCUACGGGAGGCAGCAGUAAGGAAUAUUGGUCAAUGGGCGGAAGCCUGAACCAGCCAUGCCGCGUGCAGGAAGACGGCCCUACGGGUUGUAAACUGCUUUUAGACGGGAAUAAACCCAGAUACGUGUAUCUGGCUGAAUGUACUGGAAGAAUAAGGAUCGGCUAACUCCGUG
rnacentral:rRNA from 1 species